AAUUGGGGUUCGAUUCCGGAGAGGGUGCUUGAGAAAUGGCAACCAUGACUACGGUCAGCAGCAGGCGCGCAAAUUGCCCAAUGCCAAUACUGGCGAGGCAGCGACGAAAAAUAAUAACUUUGAUGCACAUACGUGUGUCAGAGAUUGCAAUGGACUGUAUCCAGAAACACUGAUGAGUAUCAAUUGGAGGGCAAGUCUGGUGCCAGCAGCCGCGGUAAUUCCAGCUCCAAGAGCGUAUAUAAAUGUUGUUGCGGUUAAAAAGCCCGUAGUUGGAUUUGAGAAUAUCGCCUGUGAGUCAGCUCCAUUGAGGGGUUCGCUUCUCUUUGGAACCCUGAUCUCACGUUUCGACGAUAUUCUGUUCGAUGCGGGAAUGGACACCUGCCGAUAGCUUCUUCGGAAGUGUGUAGGCACUCUCGGAGUCUUUACGCUCCAAAGGUGCGCCCGCAGUCGUCACUGUGAGUGAAUCAGAGUGUUCAAGGCAGCUAUUUGUUUAGUUGAAUGUUAAAGCAUGGAAUGACAAGGGAUCGACCACUGAUGGCCUCUUUUUGUUGGUUUUUAACCACCAGUGAGGCAAAACUUGUGAGGAUGGCUUCCUUCAUUAAAGUCUUCGGGCUUUGGUGAUGGACCUCUUCACGCACGGGAUCAAUAGGAGCACAGGGGGCCGUGAGUACUGGAGGGUGAGUGGUGAAAUACUGAGACCCCUCCAAGACUGACAUCAGCGAAAGCACUCGGCUAUUGUGCUUUCAUUAAUCAAGGACGAGAGAUAGGGGAUCGAAGAGGAUUAGACACCCUCGUAGUCCUUUCCUUAAAUUCUGCAGACUUGGGAUCGGUCAGCGUCCAUCAUAUCGACCUGAUCGGCACCUUCCUUCCCUACCGAGAAAUCAAAGUCUUUGUGUUCCGGGGGGAGUACAUUCGCAAGGCUGAAACUUAAAGGAAUUGACGGAGAACCACCACCAGUCGUGGAUUGUGUGGCUUAAUUCGAUUCAACACGGGAAAUUUUACCAGCACAGGACAGGGUCAGGAUUGCCAAGUUAAAGCCUUUGCUUGAUUCCCUGAAGGGUGGUGCAUGGCCGCUUCUGGUUGGUGAAUGUGAUUUGUCUGCUUAAUUGCGAUAACGAACGAGAUCUCUGCCAAUUACUAGAUGCCGCUUUCGCUUUAAGCUAGUGUGUGGUCGAGGUCUCACGGCCUUUGGUCACGCAUUGCUGAGAAGGCGGACAUUUACUUAUUGGGAUUAUGCGGUCUAAAGACGCAUUGAAACGAGAGCCCAAAGCAGGUCUGUGAUGCUCCUAAAUGCGCUGGGCUGCACGCGCAAUACACUGACUUCGACAAAGAGCUUUUGCUUUGCAACCUGGCCCGAAGGGGUUGGGGAAACUUGGAGCCGAAGUCGUGAUGGGGAUUGAUGCUUGAAAUUAUUCUCCAUGAACGAGGAAUGUCUUGUAGGCGCGUUUCAUCAGAACGCACCGAAUACGUCCCUGGUUCUUGUACACACCGCCCGUCGUUGCCUGUAAUGGGUUGUGAGUAGAGCCCUUUGGAGACGACAGAUUGAUCCCUCGGGUGACGUCUGUUGUCAAAAUUGAGCAAUACUCGCAAUCUAGAAGAGGCAAAAGUCUAACAA
rnacentral:rRNA from 1 species